GGCACAAGUACAGCGUCAGUUUACAAUGCAAGGAUGUCCAUUGAUGCCAAACUGUCUGUUGGGCUGUGUCUUAUCUGUAUUUCAGUGUGUGUGUGUGUGUGUGCGCGCGCUUAUGGCCCAUGUGGCCCAUGUGGCCCAUGUAACCCUGCAGCCUAUAUAUGUGCUGCCCCCUUGUACAGGAAACCCUAACUCCAAUAGAAUACAAUACCAGGCCAUCUUUCUAUCCCAGCCGCCACCCCUCUCUCCCCUGAUUCUACAUGGUGUCAGAGCUUGGGUUCCCAAUCCCAGCAAUGGUGAUGGUGGUUGGCUGGUUGUGCUUGCUGGCGAUUGUCUGAGAGGAGAAGGCUUGUGUGGAAGAAGGAGAGGUGGAAUCCCAGAUCUGAGGGGAGGAGGUAGUAGAGAGGUGAAAGUGGGGAGCAGUGGUUGCUGGAGGUUGCUAGUGGUGUGAUUCAAGAUUGGAAAGAUGGGGGACAACCAGGGGUUGGUAAAGGCAGGGGUUGGUAAAGGCGUUGGAGAAGCUAGCUGAGCUCAUCACUGUCAAGGCAGAGGGUGUGGCUUCCCCAGGUGCGCUUGUUCCUCAGCCUGAGGUGAUACAGAGAAUAGAACUGAUGCCAAAUGAAAUCAAGAUGGAAGGGGUCACAAACUACCUAAGCUGGUCCAGAAGGGCAUUGCUAAUAUUGAGGACAAAGGGGCUGGAAGGCUAUGUCAGAGGGGAAGUAGAUGAACCGGCGAACAGGGCAAGUGAAGAGUGGAGUGGAGUGUCAUUGACUCUCUGGUGGUGGCAUGGCUGCUGAACUCCUUGACCCCAUCCAUUGCAGCAGCCGUGGAGACUCUUCCCCAUGCAGUAGAGGUAUGGAAAACCCUGGAAACAUUGUACUCCGGGAAAGGGAACAUAAUGCUUAUGGCGCAGAUUGAGGAUAGAGUAAAUGAGCUAAAACAAGGGGAUAAGUCGGUGAUGGAGUAUGUAGCAGAAUUGCAGCAUUUGUGGGCUGACUUAGACCACUAUGAUCCAUUGGAGUUACCACAUUCAGAAUGUAUAGUUGCUACUAAGAAGUGGGUAGAGCGUAGGAGAGUGAUGAAAUUCUUGAAGGGACUUAGCUCAGAAUUUGAAGGAAGGCGUGCUGGGUGUUUCAUCAGCCAAAGCUCCCCUCGCUUGAGGAGGCAGUUGCAGCAAUGGCACAGGAGGAGGUCAGGUUGAAGUUGACCAGGACUGGAGAAGCGAAUGCAUCUCGCUCAGCAUUUACUGUGUCUGAAUGGAAGGAGACAAGAGAGUGCUUCAAUUGUGGAGAGAAAGGUCACAUAAGCAUCAAUUGCACAGCACAACGCAGAGAAAUACGUGGUAGGGGAAGAGGUUACAGCCGAGGUGGAUACCGGGAAGUUAGAGGCAGAGGUAACUCGAGGGGUUCGAAUUAUUCCAGUGGCUUCAAAGCAAACUUGGCUAACUUGGCAACGCAAGAAGAAGGGACGUCAACAACCUCUCAAGGGGAGACGAAGAGUAGAAGCCAGGAGGACAACACCUUCGGGAACUUUGCCCACUUUGUCUACACAGGGGAAGGAGAGGAUGACUGGAAGGAAACUUGGGACAGGAACCAGGCGUAGUGGAUUGUGGUAUAUGGAUCGUGAUGUGUCUAGGUCUGGUGCUAGUCCUAUUUUGGCUGUACUAGUUGGAGUAAGUGAGACAAUGGCGAUGAUCCAUCACUGUCGCAUGGGGCAUAUGGCUUUUGAUAAGAUGAGUAAGAUGUUUCCUGAUGUAAUGCGUGGAGUAGACAAGAGUAAGCUUGUGUGUGAUGCAUGUGAAUAUGCAAAGCACACAAGAAUCUCAUAUUUGAGUAAAAUAUGCAAAGCACACAAGAAUCUCAUAUUUGAGUAAGGGGCUAAGGAGUAUAUCCCCGUUUAUGCUGAUUCA